rnacentral:rRNA from 1 species
GUUGACCUCGGAUCAGGUAGGAAUACCCGCUGAACUUAAGCAUAUCAAUAAGCGGAGGAAAAGAAACCAACAGGGAUUGCCCUAGUAACGGCGAGUGAAGCGGCAACAGCUCAAAUUUGAAAUCUGGCCCCCCCGGGGGUCCGAGUUGUAAUUUGCAGAGGAUGUCUUCUGGCGCGGUGCCUUCCGAGUUCCCUGGAACGGGACGCCACAGAGGGUGAGAGCCCCGUAAUGGUCGGAUACCAAGCCUGUGUGAAGCUCCUUCGACGAGUCGAGUAGUUUGGGAAUGCUGCUCUAAAUGGGAGGUAAAUCUCUUCUAAAGCUAAAUAUUGGCCAGAGACCGAUAGCGCACAAGUAGAGUGAUCGAAAGAUGAAAAGCACCUUGAAAAGGGGGUUAAACAGUACGUGAAAUUGUUGAAAGGGAAGCGCUCAUGACCAGACUUGCGCCGGGCGGCUCAGCAGGGGUUCCGCCCCUGUGUACUCCGUCCCGGUUCAGGCCAGCAUCGGUUCUCGCUGGGGGAAAAGAACGGCGGGAACGUGGCCCUCCCUCGGGGGGGUGUUAUAGCCCGUCGUCCGAUACCCUGGCGGGGUCCGAGGUUCGCGCAUUCGCAAGGAUGCUGGCGUAAUGGUUAUCAGUGACCCGUCUUGAAACACGGACCAAGGAGUCGUCCUUUAGAGCGAGCGUCUGGGUGUUAAAACCCGCACGCGUAAUGAAAGUGAAAUUAGGUGAGAGCCCUUACGGGCGCAUCAUCGACCGAUCCUGAUGUUCUCGGACGGAUUUGAGUAAGAGUUCUAACGGACGGACCCGAAAGACAGUGAACUAUGCUUGUAUAGGGUGAAGCCAGAGGAAACUCUGGUGGAGGCUCGCAGCGGUUCUGACGUGCAAAUCGAUCGUCAAAUAUGAGCAUGGGGGCGAAAGACUAAUCGAAC